rnacentral:tRNA from 1 species
GGUGACUCAGUGUUAAGAGUGCUUGCUUUGCAUGCCUGAGGCCUUGGGUUUGAUUCCCAGCACCA